rnacentral:lncRNA from 1 species
UUACUGAUUCAUUCUUUCACUGAUUUGUUCAUUAGGACAUUCAUUUGUUGACUCAUUCAUUCUUUAGUUGAAGAUUCAAUCAUUGAUUGAUCAUUCAUUCAUUCACGGGAUCUUUUGAUGGUUCCUUGGUUCAUUGAUUCAUUCAACCAUAAAUAGUUUUUUGAGUUCACUGUCCACUUUGCUCUGGGCCAGAGCCUUCGGGGCAUAGGAGAAAAGGAGACACGGUGCCCUUCCAGAAGGCUGAGCCUUGAGUCCAAGGCAUGUGAUUGAGCUGCUUACGUGUUCGGUACUUUUCCUCUUCAUUUCCUUCGUGAUUGGGUAUAGUCACCAGUCUGAAUGGCCAGCCUUGAGAUGUGCCCACCUUUUCCCAAACAAGCCCAGCCCUCCCCACUCCUCCAUCAAGUCUUCAUUGGAGGCAUCCUCUCGUGCAGGCAUCUUCUCACUCAUCUCAGCUCAGCCACCGCGUUAGCUUGUCUCUGGGUUCUGGGCCAAAUCCAGCCACGGGACGCUUAACCGUUCUUUAUCCCAAUCUGAGCUGCAAUCUGGACAGAGCCAGAGCCCUGACCCAGCCCUAGAAUGAGUCCUGCGCUUGGGCAGCUCUUUUAAAGGCAGGAAUAAGAGGUUGCCCAGAGGACCAGAUGAGAACAUGGCCGGCCAUGGGAAAUAUGGGCUGAUUGAAGGAGUUAGACCAGAAGAGAGACAGGAGGCUGCUCGGGGUAUCAAAAGGUCAUUUGGCAGAGCCUGGGCUCCAUCACAGGCCUUCUGGCUUCACUGCCUCAAAGAGUUUAAAGCCCUCAGCCCCUCACCUGAUAUUGCAGAAGAGGGCUCCAACUGGACAGGUGCCCUUGACUUCCCAACCAGCUCCGCAGUUCUGUGGUUCUAGGAAUCUGAGAUCCCCCGGGUGGCACAGGACGUGCUCAGAGGACCAGAUACCUCACUGGUCCUGUGUGGUGUUCCAGACCAUGUUCACUUGGGCAUGUGGGCUCUUCGGGGACCCCAAGCUGCAGCAGGGAGCUGAGCCAUACUUCCUCCCACCCCUACUAAUGACAAACAGGAUGAGUUCAGAAAGAGCUGAAAAGACUUCUAUGAAGUGAUGCAAAAUGAAACGAGCAGAACCAAGAGAAAAAUCUACAGUAACAGGAAUAUUAUACAGUGAUCAAAGGUGGAGGACUAAAUCAUUAUCAGCAAGGCACAUCCCCAAGAUAACCACCAGGGACUCAUGAUGAAGAUUCUCUCCACAGCCAAAGGAGGAACUCUUGAAGCCGAGUGCAGAUCAAAGCUCAUCAUCGUCCACUUGUUUCCUUCAUGUGAUUUUAUCAUAUGUGUGACACGUGUUUUCUUUUUUAAUCAUUAUUUAAUUAAUUAAUUUAGAAUAUUUUCCCAUGGUUACAUGAUUCAUGCUUUUCCCCUCCCCUCCUCCCUCCCCCUUCCAUAGGCAAAGAGCAAUUCCAUUGGGUUUUACAUGUCUUCCAUGAAAGCAUACACAUCCCAAGCAGAAAAAGACUAAUCUCUAUUUUUUUUGCGUGUUUAAACCCCCACUUUCUGUUUUAGGAUCAAUACUGUGUAUUGGUUCCAAGGUAGAGGAGUGGUAAGGGCUAGGCAAUGGGGGGCAAGUGACUUGCCCAGUAAGUGUCUGAGGCCAGAUUUGAACUCAGGACCUCCCCUCUCCAAACUUGAUUAAUCCCUUUUCUAAGCUGCAGCCCUUCAAACACUAUUAUCAUGUCCACUCUACUUUUUAAAACAUCCUUCUCCAGGAUAAAUCUUCCCCAGUUCUUUCAAUCCAUGCACAUAUGGCAUGGUCUUGGGUCACCAUCUUGGUCAUCACCCCGGCUUGUUAGUGUUCUUCGAAAAUUGUCAUUCCCAGAAUGGCACAAAUCAUCCAG